GACGAACGCUGGCGGCGUGCUUAACACAUGCAAGUCGAGCGGUAAGGCCCUUUCGGGGGUACGACGAGCGGCGAACGGGUGAGUAACACGUGGGUGACCUGCCCUCAGCUCUGGGAUAAGCCUGGGAAACCGGGUCUAAUACUGGAUAUGACUCCAUGACGCAUGUUGUGGGGUGGAAAGCCUUGUGCGGCUGAGGAUGGGCCCGCGGCCUAUCAGCUUGUUGGGUGGGGGAUGGCCUACCAAGGCGACGACGGGUAGCCGGCCUGAGAGGGCGACCGGCCACACUGGGACUGAGACACGGCCCAGACUCCUACGGGAGGCAGCAGUGGGGAAUCUUGCGCAAUGGGCGAAAGCCUGACGCAGCGACGCCGCGUGAGGGAUGACGGCCU
rnacentral:rRNA from 1 species